CCCUUGUCCUUAGUUACCAGCACGUUAUGGUGGGCACUCUAAGGAGACUGCCGGUGACAAACCGGAGGAAGGUGGGGAUGACGUCAAGUCAUCAUGGCCCUUACGGCCUGGGCUACACACGUGCUACAAUGGUCGGUACAGAGGGUUGCCAAGCCGCGAGGUGGAGCUAAUCUCACAAAACCGAUCGUAGUCCGGAUCGCAGUCUGCAACUCGACUGCGUGAAGUCGGAAUCGCUAGUAAUCGCGAAUCAGAAUGUCGCGGUGAAUACGUU
rnacentral:rRNA from 1 species